GACACUUUGGCCGAGUGGUUAAGGCGAUGCCCUGCUAUUAAGCAUAUCAAGGCAUUGUGUUCGCACGCGCAGGUUCGAAUCCUGCAGGUGUCG
rnacentral:tRNA from 1 species